AUACAAUUUUUUUCUUGCCUUAUUAAAUUGAGAAAUUUUGUCUUUUUAUUAAAAGGAAGCACUUUAUGGCUUCUCUGUGCUAUCUGAAUAGCCAGCAUCACUAAUCUUGUGCUUUGAGCCUAAUGUUGAUGAAAGAUGAACAGGAUAUUAAAUAAGUCAUGGAAAUGCUGAAAAGAAACCAGGUUAAGAGGCAUAGCUAGAGCUGUCUCUCUACUGUUGUAACGUGUUAUUGGUUAUUUGCACAAAAAUUCCAAGAGAAAAUAAUAAUAACCUUUAAGUAGCAUAUCCGUAAUUUUCAUUUUGCUGUCUCCUCCUUCUUACUGUAAAACGUGUGUUGUUAAAUACAUUCCCUUAAGCAACAUCACUAUAUUCCUGAAGUCAC
rnacentral:lncRNA from 10 species